AUGUUGUUGGGUAGGGGAGCGUUCUGUAAGCCUGUGAAGGUGUGCUGCGAGGCAUGCUGGAGGUAUCAGAAGUGCGAAUGCUGACAUAAGUAACGAUAAUGCGGGUGAAAAACCCGCACGCCGGAAGACCAAGGGUUCCUGUCCAACGUUAAUCGGGGCAGGGUGAGUCGACCCCUAAGGCGAGGCAGAAAUGCGUAGUCGAUGGGAAACAGGUUAAUAUUCCUGUACUGGUGAUAAUUGCGAUGGGGGGACGGAGAAGGCUAGGCUGGCCGGGCGACGGUUGUCCCGGUUUAAGGAUGUAGGUGGGUGAAUUAGGCAAAUCCGGUUCGCUAUACACUGAGGUCUGAUGACGAGUCACUACGGUGGCGAAGUAGCUCAUGCCCCGCUUCCAGGAAAAGCCUCUAAGCUCUAGAUUAUCAUUAAUCGUACCCCAAACCGACACAGGUGGUCAGGUAGAGAAUACUCAGGCGCUUGAGAGAACUCGGGUGAAGGAACUAGGCAAAAUGGUGCCGUAACUUCGGGAGAAGGCACGCUGGCAUUAGGUGAAGUGGUUUACCCAUGGAGCCGAAGCCAGUCGCAGAUACCAGCUGGCUGCAACUGU
rnacentral:rRNA from 1 species